CACGCACACACACGCGCACACACACACACGCCCCAAAACCCUUUCAGACAGGCAGUGCUAGUAGUAUGAUUCCCAUUUUUUCAGAUGAGGAAGGGAAGGCUCAGAUAUCACAAAAGAUCCUGAUUACCAAUGACCAGAGAUGGGAAAUUCCGGAGCCACUGGCCGACCUCUCAUCCUCCCAGGCACUUCAGACUCCCACCAGUCCAGUCCAAUUUCCUUUACACCAAACUGAUGGCGCCUCUUCUCAGCGGGAAGGACCUUUCUCCAUCCUAUCAGGCAAUAGCAACCAGGAAGCAAUUCAAUGGAAGAAAAAGGCAUAGAAAGACUUGUACGAAUUGAUGUUGGAUGCAGGAAGUGGAGUGGUAAGAAUGACAAACAGGGUGACCACAAAAAUACCAACAAAAGGCCUUAGACUCUGAGGAGUCACCAUGACCGGUCUUGGUCCCAGAGAAGAGAUGAUGAAACGUGCCCCUUCCCAUUUGGAAGAGGCGGAGGACUAAAAUUCUGGUUGUUGAAUACAUGGGGACUGUGUCCCCUGGCUUUCCUUAACAGUUAUUUGUUGUUGUGGUUGUUGUUGUUGUUAUAUUGGAGGUUUGUGACUGUUGGUGGUGGGGACAGGGAUGGUUAUAACCUGAGAGGGCUACCAGUGAAAACAAAAGGCACCCAAUGAAAGCCCUUUACUAGCAAAAGAACUAAUGGAGGCAGAAACAGUAGGGCUGUGGGAUUGUUCUGAAUGUAAUUCUCUUCUUUCUUAUUCAGCUCUGACCCCAACUACUGCUACCCUUCCUCAGGCGCAUGGCCAGGCAUUCUUGGACUGGAUACCACAGUGAUAGAGAGCCCUCUCUUCCAGUUCAUGAAACAAUUAUGUUUUGGUAGCAUAUGGAUGGCUCCAUUGGAUUAAGAGAGUCCAACCACCUGCUCCAGGGAAAGGGCUGAACACCUGCAGAUUUGGAAGGAUUUAAACUAACCCAUUUGCAGACUCAAACAUGGACAGAGGCAUUGAAACUAAGAAGCUUUGCUGGAAAGUUGCCCUAAACAAACAAACAAUUAGAACAUUGCCUUCACAUCUCUGCAGAAAGCAGCCCGUCUCUUCUUGGAAGUCAGGCCCAUUGGGGACUGUCAUGUCACCAGGCACAGGCAGGAGGAUGGUUUUGCUGCUGGGCUUCCUGGCUGUCAUUAAAGGACGGUAUUGUGUGUGAUUCAAUAGCACAGAGAGCAUUUCUCACUGGGUAUGGCUAUUUGUUUCUGGUCCAACUCAGUCAUUUCAUCCACAUAGUCAUAGAAAGCUGUCUCUGGCCAUGAGAGGUUCUAUGGCUUGCAUGGGUCACAGCUGAUGUGAAUGAGACAGGGACAUUAGCCCAGGUUCUCCUAACUGCCAGGCUGGUCCUAUCUCCAUGGGGCCAAGAUUCUCCUCAGUAGGUUCUCUGGGUUUCUGUAGCUGUGCCCUCUUGGUGGUCUUUGUUGCCUUCAUCUUCUUGGGGUCCUUUUAGGUUGUUAUGGGAACUGUGUAUUUUGAACAACCAUUGUCAAUUACCUGGAGUUUGUUUUUCUGAGCUAAAUGUCCCAUUUCUAGUAUAUUGUCCAGAUGGAAAUCACCAGGAUUUUAACUCAGUUUAAUUCAGCAAACAGUCAGGAAGUACCUGCUGUGUUUAACCUAGCAUUCUGUUAGGUUCUGGAAUAACACUGUUAACAGCUGGGGCAAAUCUUCUCCAACUGAGAUUUCCUCAAAACUCAUCCCUAGUUCAAAACUUUUCUGUGUCCAAAUCUACUUAAGGAUCAUAGCUUGUGAGCCCCCACCAACGUACUGCUUUACUUACUUCCAAACAAAGGCAUAUUUAGAAAUGAUAAGUAAAAUAAGCCUGAAGGAAUUUUGCCACAAAUGCAAACCUCAUAGCACAGGGAUCAUUAGUGUUCCCUGGAUACAGAUCCUUCAAAAAAUCCUCAUGGGGCAUGAUAGAAAGGCCCUUCACCAUUAAGAUCUCCUUUUUCUGAGACCUCUUCUAACUGAGUGUUCUUUCUUUGGCCAUAAUUGAAACCAAAAAAAUAAAACAUGGUCUGACCCAGUCUGAACACAGCAGAGGCUCUCACUACCUCUUCAUAGAAGCUAUACUUCUCUUGAUGCAGCCUUAAAUCACUUUUUGUUUAAAAAAUAAUUAGCUGUCACACAAUGAUCCUUGACCAUAUUGAGCUUACAAUCCAUCCAAACACAGUAGAUAUGAGAGUCUGAUCUUUUGGUGAUGUUUUGGAGAAGUAGAGUGUAAGUAUUUUGCUCUCAUAUUAUUCCUUCUAAGGUUAGGGAGAGAACAAGAAUAAUAUCAAUUCGAUUAGUGAGGGAUGAAGAUGAGAGAAGUCAUAUAGAGGGGGCUGAGUGGGCAAUUCCAUUUUGCCAAAGAGCCACACUAUGACCUCUUGGCUACCAUGAGUGACUUUGUCAAGACAUCAUGGCCUGAUGGCUCCCAGCAUUGCUUAUUUCUUUUCUUGUAUUCCAUAAAUUGAUAUUUGUUUCAUAUUUAUACUCUGCUUAUGCAUAUUCUUUUUGUAGGGUAUGGAAGUCUAUUACUGUUAUAUUUAUCUUUUAAAUUCACAUAUAUUUUAGUUUAAAUAUUUACUUGCAAUAUGUACAGACACACGCUAAUCUGAUAUUGUUAUUCUUCCUUUGCCAAUCCUUUCUUCUACCUCUCUCAAACUCACAUUUUCUCACCUGUAAAAUGGGGAUAAUAUUACCACAUGACAAUGCUAGCAUGAUGUGAAUUUUAAAACUACUCCACCCUAAUCAGACCGUACUUUAGAAGGUCUGAUUUAGUUAUUUCCUGAUUAGUAACAAUGGAGAUACUUGGUUUAACAGAAUCAAGUCUUGGAAACUCUACAUUUCUCCACCCUACUUAGUUUAACAAGGUCAGGAAUGUCUGCACCAUACUCAAGGAUUAAGUAUCUGAGAAAAUGGCCUGCAACAGAUGUGCAGAAACAGCAGACAGACCUCUGGGCUCUCCUAAGUCAAGCUAAGCUACGAUUGGUAUAGAUGAUAUGCAGAAAAGUGACAUAAAACUGUCUAUAUAAGGCACGUCACUUCCUCUCGUCACCCUCUUUUCCCAGAGAGGCGUCUCUGGCUGGCAGCAGGCUAAGCAUUCCAACAUCUUGGCGUGGUGGCAGCUAUUUGUCUGGGUUUUGGUGGUGAGUUUGCCCUUGAGCUAAUUCAGGUUCAGGCUGAUUCCUUCCUCUUUUUCUCUCCAAAACCUUACCUUCUAGAGCCUCUAAUCUUCCCUCCUGGCACAAGCCAGGCAGGAGAAAUCCUACACCCUUUUCCUUCUCCCUUCUUCUUAAAUUUCCACUAUAUUAAUUAAAUCACCAUAAAUUUCCAGACUGACUUGGGUAAAUUUUUUUUGUCAUUUGGGAUAUCCAUGGGGACCAAUAAUUAAUAGAGUUUAAGUCAC